rnacentral:rRNA from 1 species
UACGUAGGGUGCAAGCGUUACUCGGAAUUACUGGGCGUAAAGCGUGCGCAGGCGCUUGUGCAAGACAGAUGUGAAAUCCCCGGGCUCAACCUGGGAAUUGCAUUUGUGACUGCACGGCUAGAGUGUGUCAGAGGGGGGUAGAAUUCCACGUGUAGCAGCGAAAUGCGUAGAGAUGUGGAGGAAUACCGAUGGCGAAGGCAGCUCCCUGGGAUAACACUGACGCUCAUGCACGAAAGCGUGGGGAGCAAACAGG